GUAGAAUAUGGUAGAGGGUAGGGAGUUCUGUGUAGCGGUGAAUGAAUAAUAUAAAGGAACACCAGGGAAGGCGACAACAGGCGAUUGACAUGAAGAGGGAAGCGGGGGAGCGAAACAAUUAGAUCCAUGUAGUCCGCCGUAAGGAUGUCACUAGCCGGGGAGCCUUGAGCUUUAGUGGGCAGCUAACGCAUUAAGUUGACCGCUGGGGAGUACGGCCGCAAGGUUGAAAUCAAAUGAAUUACGGGGCCGCACAAGCGGUGGAGCAUGGGUUUAAUUGAAGCAACGCGAAGAACCUUACCAGGCCUUGACAUCCAAUGAACUUUCCAGAGAGGAUUGGUGCCUUCGGGAACAUGAGACAGGUGUGCAUGGCUGUCGUCAGCUCGGUCGUGAGAUGUGGGUUAAGUCCCGUAACGAGCGCAACCCUUGUCCUUAGUUACCAGCACGUUAAGGUGGGCACUCUAAGGAGACUGCCGGUGACAAACCGGAGGAAGGUGGGGAUGACGUCAAGUCAUCAUGGCCCUUACGGCCUGGGCUACACACGUGCUACAAUGGUCGGUACAGAGGGUUGCCAAGCCGCGAGGUGGAGCUAAUCCCACAAAACCGAUCGUAGUCCGGAUCGCAGUCUGCAACUCGACUGCGUGAAGUCGGAAUCGCUAGUAAUCGCGAAUCAGAAUGUCGCGGUGAAUACGUUCCCGGGCCUUGUACACACCGCCCGUCACACCAUGGGAGUGGGUUGCACCAGAAGUAGCUAGUCUAACCUUCGGGGGACGGUACCACGGGUAUCCUUG
rnacentral:rRNA from 1 species